rnacentral:rRNA from 1 species
ACUAAAUAGAUACCCCGGUAGUCCACGCCCUAAACGAUGUCUACUAGUUGUCGGGUCUUAAUUGACUUGGUAAACGCAGCUAAACGCGUGAAAGUAGACCGCCUGGGGAGUACGGUCGCAAGAUUAAAACUCAAAGGAAUUGACGGGACCCGCACAAGCGGUGGAUGAUGUGGAUUAAUUCGAUGCAACGCGAAAACCUUACCUACCCUUGACAUGUCAGGAACCUCUGAGAGAUUAGAGGGUGCCCGAAAGGGAGCCUGAACACAGGUGCUGCAUGGCUGUCGUCAGCUCGUGUCGUGAGAUGUUGGGUUAAGUCCCGCAACGAGCGCAACCCUUGUCAUUAGUUGCUACGAAAGGGCACUCUAAUGAGACUGCCGGUGACAAACCGGAGGAAGGUGGGGAUGACGUCAAGUCCUCAUGGCCCUUAUGGGUAGGGCUUCACACGUCAUACAAUGGUACAUACAGAGGGCUGCCAACCCGCGAGGGGAGCUAAUCCCAGAAAGUGUAUCGUAGUCCGGAUUGUAGUCUGCAACUCGACUAC